GGUAGGAUAGUUGCCGCAUCGGACUCGGUCACCCGGUGACCAGUUCCUCGCCUGGUCACUGGGUCAGCCGGAUAUUCGACCUUGUUCUUCCCUUCCAAAAGGGCCUUGAUGGGUUUUUGGCAUUGUAAGGAUUUGUAUCCAAGAAGAGCAACUAAGCGCAACUAAAAUGCGACGAAUUUUUGAGAGCAAUCAACAACAACAGCGGAUUUUGGUAAAAAGACAAACAACUUGAUAAAUUGUGCGAUUUCCAGCGAACCACGUAAGACGAAGCGAAAACAAGUCAAGGUGCCGUUCGCUGAGAGAAAAAGAGUGGUUUUGGGUGCGUUCUCUUGGUAAACUCACUUCCAUGCGGAGUACUACUUUAUAAUUAACCGACUGGCUCAACGAGAGCAAAGGUCAUCGAACUCACUUACAUUGUUUUUUGUGAACAAUCAAGGACGCCUUAAAAACGUUCUGCAUCUGUAUACUCGUUUUUUUAUCAUUACUGUGAGAACCACAAGCCACAAGUGGACGAGCCCUGGAAAUCGACCAAUCCGCGGGCUCUGAACGUUGGCAGCGGAUUAUCGCACGCAUUUAUGCAUGAUGAUGACAGAUGACGCAGUGCGUUAGGAGAUAUGAUCCAAGAAGACUAAGAAAUGAAACCAAUUAAAACCGGAUCACCAACAUAUGCUGCAAGGUCGCCGUUUUGAUGACCACGGAUUUACAUAUCACGUAUACGCAACUUAAACG